rnacentral:rRNA from 1 species
CCUACGGGAGGCAGCAGUGAGGAAUAUUGGUCAAUGGACGAGAGCCUGAACCAGCCAAGUAGCGUGAAGGAUGACUGCCCUACGGGUUGUAAACUUCUUUUAUAAAGGAAUAAAACGAGGCACGUGUGCCUUUUUGCAUGUACUUUAUGAAUAAGGAUCGGCUAACUCCGUGCCAGCAGCCGCGGUAAUACGGAGGAUCCGAGCGUUAUCCGGAUUUAUUGGGUUUAAAGGGAGCGUAGAUGGGUUGUUAAGUCAGUUGUGAAAGUUUGCGGCUCAACCGUAAAAUUGCAAUUGAUACUGGCAGCCUUGAGUACAGUUGAGGUAGGCGGAAUUCGUGGUGUAGCGGUGAAAUGCUUAGAUAUCACGAAGAACCCCGAUUGCGAAGGCAGCUUACUAAACUGUGACUGACAUUGAUGCUCGAAAGUGUGGGUAUCAAACAGGAUUAGAUACCCGGGUAGUC